rnacentral:lncRNA from 1 species
AAUCCUACCAACAGAAGACCCAAUAAGCCAAAUAACCCAUCUUUUUAGGUGAGGAGAACUAGGCACUGGGAUGAAGAGUUAAAGACUCAAAGAGUCAAAUGACCGACCUUUUCAAAUGAGGGGAACCAGACAUCAGGGAUGAAGACUUGAAAACUUGGCAAGCCAAACAACCCACCUUUUCAAGCAAGAAAAAUUAGACACCA